GAAUGAAACACAAAAUUGAAAACAGAGAUGAAUAUAUAGCUACACUAAUGAAAUCAAAAUUAUUGAUUCAAAACUAAAACAUAAUAAAAAGGAAAUAAAAAAGUGAAGAAAUGUUACCUAGGCUCAAAACUCUAGCUCAUGUUCCAGCCACCACACAAUAGCCACUGCUGCCACUACUUUUAAUCUUUUAUGUCGAUCUCCACCACCAUCAGAACCAUAAAGACCCGCCCAUCAAAUCCCAGCCGUAAAUACAACCGAUUUGCUGCACGAAUCACCAAACACGACUACCAAACAACAGCGAAACCUCCACCAUUGUUCACUAUCUUCCAGCGCGAUUUACCAGCCACCACCAACAACACAUUACUCAUCAUUAGUUGUAUCUAUCUGGUUACCUCCCUCUUCCAGCCCCUUCCCCUUUCGCUGGAAUUGAAGC
rnacentral:lncRNA from 1 species